UUUUUUUUUACUUUCGUGAUGGCGACUGUGGUUCUUCAGGUCUCUAGCUUGUAGUGGCUUCACAAUUCUGAAAAGUCCGAUCUUGCUGGUAAUGCGUAUUCUGCUAGAUCCCCAGUUGUUAUUCAGCUGAUGGAAGGCUACCCUAGCUUUAUUGAUCUGCACGUUCCUCCAAGGUUGUCCAUUCUACUGUCAAGCUUAAUGAAGUUUCCCCACCUCUCACGUUUCCAAAAUGUGCAGGUCUGAGUAUAACAGAGACAGACAUCAUCAAGUAAAGAUGGAACUUCAGUGGUUUCGAAUGAGCGCAUUGGAGAAGUACAAAAUGCCUUCUAAAAUGUAGAUCUAUACCCAUAUUCGAAGAAGCAUUGUUAACAUUAAUUCAAGAGUACACAACCAGUGUUAUUAUUUUACGAAAUCUAUGUUAUGUAUUGUUGGAGUAAUCUCCUCUGAUUGUUUUUGUUUUGAUUUCGUCCAGAGUUUAAGAGGUCGGCCAAUUAACCGUGACCGUGUUCUACGUUUUAAUCUAGAAGGGUCAUAAAAUUUAGUCAUACUGGAUGUGAUUCUUCUAUCAGAGGAAAUACUGCACUUUCUAAACAUGAACAAAGUUCCUCUUGCAGUGUGGACGUACACUGGUAACUUCGAUAGGACAAACAGUUCAUUGAGAUUCUUAAUCAUCGAAAAGGAGGAAAUUUUGGGAUAUGCAAAUUGGAAUUUUUAAAAACUCAGGAAGCACUGGGGCCCCUUAAUGUCCAUACGAAGUCUAUGAAAUGAAUGAUUUGCUGAAAUCAUUUCUCAGCUGAUCAACAUUUGUUCAUCAUCAGUUCCAGCUAACAUCUUUUGUUAUCAACCAGUUUAAGCCAAUAAAUGUUGUUACCAAACAAUAGACACACUUGUCGUUCAGCUGAAUCAGCACGUGGUUGUUUCAGAUCAUCAGUUUAAGAAAAAUGCAUGAAUACAGUAGUAUUAUAUAUUUUAAGCAUGUGAUAACAAAGGUCAGUUGAAAGUUUUGGCCCAGGUACCAGAUGCAGAACUCAAGUGUUUGAUAGCUCAUAUGGAAUCUUUUAUCGUGUGUUAAAAUAAGGUUUCUGAUAACAACUGAAAUGGCACCUACAGUUUUUUUUCUGAUGCUUCAACUUUGUUUGGUAAUGACCCAGUCUGAGUUGAACAUCUUUAUCAACUCUUCUGAUGUAAGAGGUCAGCUGACACAGUUUUGGAGGAAUACUGGCUUCUGUCCUCCUGCACCUCAUUCAGAGGCAGCCAACUAUGACUUAAGUUUUGACAUGCAACAGAACUUAGCCUAUAUAGGGGCUGUUCCAUUUAGUGGAAUCACUCAUGUCAGAGUCCACUGGCUUUUCGAACUUGUUCAUGUUGAAAGUAUUGCAGUCAAUGGCCCAGUUUAUAAUUUCACUGAACUAGAUAAAUUUGUGUCACUUAUCCAUGAGAAUGAGCUGUACUUGAUUUUUGAACUGAUGGGGAAUCCAUCUGGUGUCUACACUGAUAUGGAAAAUAAAACCCAAGUCUAUUGGUGGAGAGAUCUAGUAGCACAGACUGCUCAAAGAUAUAUCACUCAGUAUGGUGUUGACUAUGUCAGAGAGUGGAAGUUUGAGACUUGGAAUGAGCCUGACUGUCAUGACUUUGAUCAACUGACUAUGACAGUCCAAGGUUUCCUGAACUACUAUGAUGCUUGCUCUGAAGGAUUGAAACUUGCAGACUCAUCACUAGUAUUUGGAGGACCAGGAGAUGGCUGUGGCUUGUUAAGAGACUCCAGAGAUGCUCUGUAUGCAGAAGCUUUAUUUAACCACACAGUUCGAGGAAUAAAUUACUUUACUGGAGAAACUAAAGUUAGAAUAGAUUUCAUUUCAUUACAUGAAAAAGGACAAGGUGGCACAGCAUUGUCUAUCUUAACUGAAGAGAUUGUUGCUGUUGAUGCUAUAAAUUUGAAGUAUCCAGAACUGAAUGGCAAACCUUUUUAUAAUGAUGAAGCAGAUCCUUUGGUUGGUUGGAACAAAUCUUUUACAUGGAGGGCAGACGUGACUUAUGCAGCCCUAGUGGUGAAGAUCAUCAGCCAACAUCAAAAUAUGUUGAAGGCUCGUGACAACCCACUGAUAGCAAACUAUGCAUUGCUUAGUAACGACAACGGGUUUCUCAGUUACUUUCCCAAUCAGUUCACACAGCGUACUCUACUGGCAAGGUUUCAGAUGAACCUCACUCAGCCUCACUAUGUGACAUUUGUCAGGAAACCUGUUUACAUGGUGAUGGGCAUGUUGGCACUGCUCGGGGAAAGACAGCUCCAUGUGGAUAUUUCAAUGACUCCUUCCACAACUGUUAGUAAUACCAGUGACUAUGGAUGCAUUUCUACUGUCCAUGAGCCAAAUAUCACAGUGAAUUCAUCUGACAGUUGGCAACAAACUGUUUUGAUCUAUGGAGCUCCAGAUAUCAAUGCAACUGUCACUUACGCUGAUUUAAAUUUACAGUGGUACUUGAUCCCACCACCAGGAGUUACAAGUUUAAAACUCAAGUUUUACUACCUCUACAAUGGUGGAUCUAAUCCAUAUGAUGCUUGGGUUGGCCUGUUCAACAGCACUGCUUAUCCAACAUUAAAACAAUUUGCUUAUCUCAGAGAUCUGGAGGAUCCCUAUGACUCUAUCAUGGAUGUUAAAGUAACUGCUGGCUAUAUUCUACUUCCACCCAGAUUUCAAGUCUUGGAGCCACAUAUUAUAUUGAUGCAUCUUUGUUCUAAACCUCUUCUUCCACCAGAAAAGGUCAUCAAGUUGAAGUGUAUGAACAUCACACAAGGACAAGUUCUUAUUGUAUGGAGUGACUCAAACAUUCACACAAAGUGUCUAGCUAGGUAUGAUGUUGAACUUUCACUGAAUGGACCCUCAGGUCCUUUUACAAAAAUCAAUCCCAGACAUUCAGUCGUCACUGCAUUUAUUUAUGAAACAGACUCUGAAAGUAAAGUUGAAGGUUAUUACAGAGUGAGAGCAGUAGAUUAUUGGAACAGAGGGGGAGACUACUCUGACCCUGUACAGUACAAAGUACAGAAAAGAUGAGAUUACUUCCUGAUAUGUUUUUAGAUGGAAUAUGAAUUGAUGUUUGUUACAAAGACACAAUUAUUUGUUUAUAUAUUUAUCAUUUGUACAUAACUAAAACAUUUCCAAUCCAGUAUUUCUAAUUUAUAUUGUUAUUUUAAAAUGGGCUCAACUGUCAAAAGUUCCUCUGACUGGAAGAGAUACAAAAGGCAGAUGGAGUAUUAAGCUCACCCAUUCCAUUGGACCAGUAGGUUCAUAAAUUUGUCACUAUGGUGCUGUGAGACGGACUGGCUUCUUACACCAAAGAAUGGGAAUCAAAUUGGAGCAUGUCUUUCCACCCAGAAAGUGGCAACUAUUAAGAGUAACAAAGAAAAAACAAACUCAGACUAAAAACUCAAAAAUACCUAGGUGUUGAAAGAAAUGAAAAACUAUCAUGGAAUCAACUGUGACUCGUCAAAAUAGCGCGAAAUUUCCCGACAAAAAAGCGCAAGACAAAAUAGCGCGGACUUGUAUAUGAUGUGUACAUGAUUUUUAGUAAUUUAAUUUCCUGGGCAUCAUUUUUGUUGAUGUCUUUAUCUUUUCAAUAUUAAUAGAUCUGAAAGUAGGCCAUAUUUGCAGAGAACGAGAGUACUUUAAAUUUUAUAUCAUUCCCCUUUUUCACCUUUUAUUAAAAUGCAUACCUAUAUUGUCAAUGUACGGAAGCAAGUCUGUGAUGGAAUGUCUACGUGACAUUUCCUACAAUUUAACUUUGUGAAAGUUUGUGUGUAUGUGCGUAAAUUUGACAAGUAUCUUUGCAUGUUUUCGAAGUACACUUUUAUAAUGUAAAUAAAUGCUAUAUUUUGAAAUUAUUCAUUUUUA